rnacentral:lncRNA from 1 species
UGGAGAUAGGAUUGUUGUGGUUAACCAAUGUGUUACACAGGCUGUUAAGCAGUUCCUGCUCCCAGUGAGGGCUACAUGCUAUUUAGCAUCGUUUUAGUUGCCUGUGGUCUGAGGCGAUGCUUUCUUCUGACAGAACGAAGGACUAUGUGAGUUUGUCACUUCUGCCAGCAGCACUGAGCUCAGGUCUCAGUUACCCCAUGUGCCGGUCUGAGGGGCCACUUGAAGCAGUUUUCUUGCCAGCUCCCCCAGACAUUCUGCAGAAGGAGGAGAUACACAGCAUUACACAGCCUACAAUCUGCAUAGACAAGGUUUCAUGGGAAACUGCUGCAGCUGCUGAAGACGGAAGGUGGAGUGAGGCCGUAGUCAGUUGGAGAGAUGGCUCUACAGAGCACUGCACUGGCAUUGCUGUACUUCUCCAGCUCCAGCCUGCCCAGCACCCUCAUCUGUUGAGUUUUCAGCACUGGCAUGGGUACAAGAAACAUUCACCACUGUGGUGCAGAAAACAAAGGAGAUCUCAUCACCGCAGGAGCCAAACUGCCUGGAAAAACAGUUGUUCCCUGUUCAAACAUGCAGGCUGCAUCUCUGCAAGGAGUCAAGCCAGCCAAGUAUAA